rnacentral:rRNA from 1 species
CCUGGCGGCUGUAGCGCGGUGGUCCCACCUGACCCAUGCCGAACUCAGAAGUGAAACGCCGUAGCGCCGAUGGUAGUGUGGGUCUCCCAUGCGAGAGUAGGGAACUGCCAGGC